CCUACGGGGGGCAGCAGUAGGGAAUAUUGCUCAAUGGGGGAAACCCUGAAGCAGCAACGCCGCGUGGAGGAUGAAGGUUUUCGGAUUGUAAACUCCUUUUUUUAGAGAAGAUAAUGACGGUCUCUAACGAAUAAGCACCUGCUAACUCCGUACGAGCAGCCUCGGUAAUCCGGAGGGUGCAAGCGUGACUCGGAAUUACUGGGCGUAACGAGCGCGUAGGCGGGAUAGCAAGUCAGAUGUGAAAUCCUAUGGCUUAACCAUAGAACUGCAUUUGAAACUGUUAUUCUAGAGUAUGGGAGAGGUAGGUGGAAUGCUUGGUGUAGGGGUAAAAUCCGUAGAGAUCAAGAGGAAUACUCAUUGCGAAGGCGACCUGCUAGAACAUAACUGACGCUGAUGCGCGAAAGCGUGGGGAGCAAACAGGAUUAGAUACCCCAGUAGUC
rnacentral:rRNA from 1 species